rnacentral:rRNA from 1 species
UACGUAGGGUGCGAGCGUUAUUCGGAAUUACUGGGCGUAAAGCGCACGUAGGCGGUCAGGCAAGUCGGGUGUGAAAGCCCUGGGCUCAACCUGGGAAUUGCAUUCGAAACUAUCUGACUCGAGUAUGGGAGAGGGAAGCGGAAUUUCCGGUGUAGCGGUGAAAUGCGUAGAUAUCGGAAGGAACACCAGUGGCGAAGGCGGCUUCCUGGACUAAUACUGACGCUGAGGUGCGAAAGCGUGGGGAGCAAACAGG